rnacentral:rRNA from 1 species
AACGAACGCUGGCGGCGCGUCUUAACCAUGCAAGUCGAGCGGCAGGCAGCAAUGCCGAGAGCGGCGGACUGGUGAGUAACACGUGGAUAACGUACCCCGAUGUCCGGGACAGCCUGUAGAAAUAGAGGGUAAUACCGGAUAGAUCACUGUUUACGUGAGGUAGACAGCGGGAAAGGAGCUUCGGCUCCGCGACGGGAUCGGUCUGCGGCCCAUCAGCUGGACGGCGGGGUAAAGGCCCGCCGUGGCGAGGACGGGUAUCCGGCCUGAGAGGGCGGACGGACACAUUGGGACUGAGAUACGGCCCAGACUCCUACGGGAGGCAGCAGGUAAGAAUAUUCCGCAAUGGGGGGAACCCUGACGGAGCGACGCCGCGUGUACGAAGAAGGCCGGAAGGUUGUAAAGUUCUUUUCUGUCCGAGGAAUAAGUUUCGGAGGAAAUGCCGGGACGGUGACGGUAGGGCAGGAAUAAGCACCGGCUAAUUACGUG